UACGAAGGGGGCUAGCGUUGUUCGGAUUUACUGGGCGUAAAGCGCGCGCAGGCGGCUUUGCAAGUCAGGGGUGAAAUCCCAGAGCUCAACUCUGGAAUUGCCUUUGAGACUGCUUGGCUUCGAGUACGGGAGAGGUGAGUGGAAUUCCCAGUGUAGAGGUGAAAUUCGUAGAUAUUGGGAAGAACACCGGUGGCGAAGGCGGCUCACUGGCCCGUUACUGACGCUCAGGCGCGACAGCGUGGGGAUCAAACAGG
rnacentral:rRNA from 1 species